GUUGUUGCAAAACUUCAAAGAUGGCGUCGUUUGUUGGAUUUUCUUAAAGGAAGGGAGGAUAUUUUCACCCGAUGAUGCAGGUUAAAGGGCGAAAAUAAGUGCAUCUUUCAUUGCAGUAUAUGUAAUGAGGAAUUUUACAUCAGGGGAGGAUUGAGAUACCAUGCCCCAUUCAUGGACCACAUGAGUUUAAAUAUAGAAUAUGCAAGAAAGAAUCCUUCAACAGAGCCGGACUAAAACAGCAAAUAAAAAAAACACGAACCAAACAAAACAUGUACAGCUGAUGUUUGUAGUGAUUUUGUUUUAUUUAUAAAGUCUACAUAGACACGUCUGACAUAUAAUUGCUAUGAGUGCUACUUACUUACACGUUUUGUUCCGUAUAUGUCAUGAUGCUAGUUUCUCACUUUGUUAUGAAAAUAAACCAUUAUCUGUGUUACGUCAUUUCUUCCUACGAUGUCUCUGCAUAAAUUUUCAAUUGUA